rnacentral:rRNA from 1 species
GACGAACGCUGGCGGCGCGCCUAACACAUGCAAGUCGAACGAGCAAAGAGGAGCUUGCUUCUCUGAGCGAGUGGCGAACGGGUGAGUAACGCGUGAGGAACCUGCCUCAAAGAGGGGGACAACAGUUGGAAACGACUGCUAAUACCGCAUAAGCCCACGGGUCGGCAUCGACCAGAGGGAAAAGGAGCAAUCCGCUUUGAGAUGGCCUCGCGUCCGAUUAGCUAGUUGGUGAGGUAACGGCCCACCAAGGCGACGAUCGGUAGCCGGACUGAGAGGUUGAACGGCCACAUUGGGACUGAGACACGGCCCAGACUCCUACGGGAGGCAGCAGUGGGGAAUAUUGCACAAUGGGGGAAACCCUGAUGCAGCGACGCCGCGUGGAGGAAGAAGGUCUUCGGAUUGUAAACUCCUGUUGUUGAGGAAGAUAAUGACGGUACUCAACAAGGAAGUGACGGCUAACUACGUG